rnacentral:rRNA from 1 species
AUGUGCGUCCGGGUCAGUGGAGUAGGAGUUGAGAACCUCUUGUAUCCAGGCCGGCUGGCAUGCCGAGAGCGCGGCCAGGUCGAGCUGCUUGCCCACACGAGACAAGGCGUCGGCGGCGCCGUUGUCGAGGCCGCGCUUGUACUGGAAGCGGAAUUGGAGCCCGACCAGCUUCGCCAUGCCUUGCGCUGCAGCUCCGUCUCCAAUUUGCUCCCCCAGGUUGCAGAGCGACUUGUGGUCGGUGAGGAUGUCGAAGGGGCCGCGCUGCAAGUAAGGGCGCCACUUGUCGAUCGCCAUCAUCACCGCCAAGAACUCCUUCUCGUACGUCGAAAGCUUCUGGUUGCGCACGCCGAGAGCCUUGCUGAAGAACGCGACGGGGUGGCCCUCCUGGACGAGCACGACGCCCACGCCCAUGUCGCACGCGUCAGUCUCGAUGGAGAAGGGCUUGUCAAAGUUGGGCAGGGCGAGCAUGGGCGUCGUCGUCAUCGCCGUCUUGAGCGUUUUGAACGCGGCCUGCGCUUGCUCGUUCCAGGCAAAGCCCUUCUUCGUGAGGAGCUGUGUGAGCGGCUUGGCGAUGAUGCCGUAGUGCGGCACAAAUUUCCUGUAGUAGCCGGUGAGCCCCAGGAAGCCACGCAGCUCGGUGGCGUUCGUCGGCGUUGGCCAUUGCUCCAUGGCCUGGGUUUUUUCCUUAUCCGUAGCGACACCGUCCUUGGAGAUGACUUGCCCGAGGUAGUCGAUGUGGUCGCAGGCGAAGCUGCACUUGCUUUCUUUGACGAACAGUUGGUGCGCUUGCAGUCAUCGAGAAAGAUAAUCACACAUUUGCGCAAGUACUUACUGAAGAUCGCGUUCAUGAGGCAUUGGAAUGUCGACGGAUCGUUCGUCAGGCCGAACGGCAUGACCCUGAACUGGAAAUGCCCGUGGUGCGUCUUGAACGCGGUCUUGGCUUCGUCUUCUUCCCGCAUACGAAUUUGA